GAUGAACGCUAGCGGCAGGCCUAAUACAUGCAAGUCGAACGGUGUCUUCGGACAUAGUGGCGCACGGGUGCGUAACACGUAUGCAACCUACCUUACAUUGGGGGAUAGCCUUUCGAAAGGGAGAUUAAUACCGCAUAAGACAGUAGCUGGGCAUCCAGCAGCUGUUAAAGAUUUAUCGAUGUAAGCUGGGCAUGCGUCCAAUUAGCUAGUUGGUGAGGUAACGGCUCACCAAGGCAAUGAUUGGUAGGGGAACUGAGAGGUCAAUCCCCCACACGGGCACUGAGAUACGGGCCAGACUCAUACGAGAGGCAGCAGUAGGGAAUAUUGGGCAAUGGACGCAAGUCUGACCCAGCCAUGCCGCGUGCAGGAUGAAGGCGUUAUGCGUUGUAAACUGCUUUUAUACAGGAAGAAACGACUCUUGCGAGAGACAUUGACGGUACUGUAUGAAUAAGCACCGGCUAACUCCGUGCCAGCCGCCGCCGUAACAC
rnacentral:rRNA from 1 species